rnacentral:rRNA from 1 species
GACGAACGCUGGCGGCGUGCCUAAUACAUGCAAGUAGAACGCUGAAGGCGGAGCUUGCUUCUCUGGAUGAGUUGCGAACGGGUGAGUAACGCGUAGGUAACCUGCCUGGUAGCGGGGGAUAACUAUUGGAAACGAUAGCUAAUACCGCAUAAGAGUAGCUGUCGCAUGACAUUUGCUUAAAAGGUGCAAUUGCAUCACUACCAGAUGGACCUGCGUUGUAUUAGCUAGUUGGUGUGGUAACGGCUCACCAAGGCAACGAUACAUAGCCGACCUGAGAGGGUGGUCGGCCACACUGGGACGGAGACACGGCCCAGACUCCUACGGGAGGCAGCAGUAGGGAAUCGGCGGCAAUGGACGGAAGUCUGACCGAGCAACGCCGAGUGAGGGAAGAAGGAUGUCGGAUCGGAAAGCUCGGUUGUAAGAGAAGAACGAGUGUGAGAGUGGAAAGUUCACACUGUGACGGUAUCUUACCAGAAAGGGACGGCUAACUACGUG